rnacentral:sRNA from 1 species
GAUCAUUAUGGUACUACAGAGGCGUGAAGGUUGUCGCUGACCUUUCUGAAAGGUCGUGCACGCCGGAGCCGCUCUCAUACACAAUCCACCUCACCACUUGUGCUUCACCGCGCGGGGUCUCUCCCUCUUGGCUCGCUCCGAGAGGGGGAGGCUUGCGUCUUUUACACACACACACACAAUUAUACAGUCUGGUAGUUUAGAAUGUCAAUCAAUACAACUUUCAACAAUGGAUCUCUUGGCUCUCGCAUCGAUGAAGAACGCAGCGAAAUGCGAUACGUAAUGUGAAUUGCAGAAUUCAGUGAAUCAUCGAAUCUUUGAACGCACCUUGCACCCCUUGGUAUUCCGAGGGGUACACCCGUUUGAGUGUCGUGAAUUUCUCAAACCUUCUUGGUUUCCUGAUCAAGAAGGCUUUGGACUUUGGAGGUCUUUGCCGGCUUUGCGAAAAGUCGGCUCCUCUUAAAUGCAUUAGUGGGGUCCCCUUUGCCGAUCUCUAGGCGUUGAUAAUACGUUUCUACGUCUUGGGAUUUGCUCUGUUCCUUGGGAACCCGCUUCUAACCGUCUCACCGUCGGAGACAUCGUUCGAGCUUGCUCGACCCACGAACCUUGACCUCAAAUCGGGUGAGACUACCCGCUGAACUUAAGCAUAUCAAUAAGCGGAGGA